ensembl:lncRNA
GCCGGGACCUGUUGAACAGCUUUCUUCCUUCUGUUUCUGACGCCACUCAAAACUAGCAGCUUUCUAAGGCACCGGAACCUACUCUUCUAGCACAUAUUGAAGACCGACUAAGGCAUCCUGUCUUGUGGUACUGAGCAGAUCCUAGAUUCUUGGACUUCCUGCUCACAGCCAGCCAUUGUUGAAUUUUCUAGACUGCAGCCUAGGAAUUUCAAGAUUGGCUGGUUAACAGGACUCUCGCUGGCAGCUGAAGGGAAGACAUCACAGGCUGGAGAUGUUUGGGAAAGGAACACACUAUCAUGGAGUUUGUCCUAUGACUCGACGGGAAGGGAACAGAGGAGUAGCAGGUUCUGAAAUGGAAGCUGAUUAAUCUGAAAGCCCCAAAAGACACUGCUGGGGAGAAAGAAAAGUGGAAUCAGGAACUUGAGGAACAGCAUUUAGCAUCUACCCAGGGAAGGCAAGCUGACCCCUUUAGACAAGGAGAAAGUAGGUCAGCUUCCUGUUACUAUACGUAAGAUAAUCAACCUCAAAGGAGAGAAGUUGAUUUUAGUUUCUUUUCUUCUAGGUAUAACAAGCUUACCCCAUUGCCAUCUUAGAGUUGAGUUACCAUGGCUUGGUAGCUCUGGCAAGUAAUCGAGUGGACCAGUCCAGAGGUAGCUAUGUCUAUGAUUAUGACAAUGGAGCUGUGGACAUUUCCUUAUAGAAUGGCAGACAGGAAGUCAAAGGACCCUCAUCCGGAAACCCAGCCAUUAUUCCUUCCUGCAAAUGAGGUUGGGAGGUGCUAGAAUAUAUGGAG